AAUGAUGGUUUGAUAAAAAUGUUGCUAAUAAUUAUAUAUAUAUAAUAAUCUUGGGAAAAAAUAAUAUAAAUUAUGUAUUAUGUUAAAAGUACAAGAGAAAUAUUAAUUUUUCAUUACUGUUGAAAAGUUUUCAUGAGAAAAAAGUGAGAGCGGAAAUCGAUCGAGAACUUUUUAGGUUAUACGCGUCACAUGUGCGAGGUGAAAACUUUUAUAGAUUUAACAAAUAGUAAAUCAUUGCGUGUUUUCUCUGCUUAUUUACGUGCUAAUUUUAUUUCUAAAACUUUAUAUAUCGUAAAAUACAUUACAUUUUCUAAUAAUUUAAAAUUGUGGUUUGCAACUCGGAGAUAUAAACAAAAGUACGUUAAAAUUUUCUUGUAAAGAAAAAUAGUCAAUGGAACGUUUCUCUCGCGCAUUCAUUUUCACUGCUUUUAUUCGACUUGGUAUUGGCCCUUUGUGGUAGAAGAUUUUUUUGAUGGCACAUUACACAGUCCCCCUUUUAUAUUUUAACCCCUUUGAAAGGGGUAUAGUCACCCCUUUCCCCAUAAAAAGGGGUAGCUGCUAAAAAAGGGUGUUGCAGCAGCAGAAGUAUUGGCCAUGGUUUUUCUAUGAUUUGUGUUAAACAUAUAUUAAAAUCUUUGUAUCUUCCAUUUAAAAAUACUCGUUCCAGGCAUGGUAUAUGUGUAUCUUUAAGUUAAUCAGUCAACAUCUAUUAAUGAUGUGGAAAAGUCAAAAUUGAUAGGGUACUACGCAUGGGCCAUGGGAUUUAGACUGCUCCGUCGGGGCAUGCUCCGUGUCCCGGAGACUGCUCGCUGUCCCUCUCCAGUUGCCUUCCAUGGAGGAUAACAUCCUGGGGGUUGGCCGGGAGCUGCCCGCGAUUGGGCAGAAUCUCAUUGGAUCUACCCCAGAGGCUACUCUGCAUGGAAAGGGUAGCUCAGUCUGUCGCUGGCUGCCGUUGAAUUUCCUUCACAGUGGAUUUUUGAUUAAUCAGUUGUCAGGAUGUCAUGCUCAUCUGAGGCAUUAUCUGACUUUUCAAGUGUGCAACUGUCCGAGUGUACAUACUAUGCUGUGAAAAAUGGUUUGUGUCUUUCCAAAAACUUACAAAAUGCUGUGAAAUAUUUGGCUGUACUUUACUUUCUUAUAUACUUAUAAGCCUAUAUUUUUAGAAAUUAUUUUUAAUUUUCUAAAAGUAAGCCAGGAAAGAUUCUAUUAUCUUUAUAUUAUAAUUGAACUAGUUUUUUUUACAUAAAGAAAUAAAUAAAAAAGUGUUUGACUGAAACUGCACAUACUUUAUAUUGUCUACAUAUAUCUUGCAAGUAUUUUAAUACAUUUUUAUUAUAUAAGUUUUCGAGCAUUUUUAUAAUAUUGGAGACACAUAUUAAAUAAGGUUCAAAACUUUUGACUUAUGAGUAAUAUGAAAUAACAAAGAAUGUAAAGCUUUAUUUUACAUUUUUAUUUUAAUUCUACUAAAUAUCAAAAUUAAUAGAUACCAAAAUGAUUGAAACAAAAUCAGAUAUAAAUAUAAAAAGAAAUUGUAAUUUUUACAUAAAAUAACAAAAUACGUGACAAUAAUAU
rnacentral:lncRNA from 1 species